rnacentral:rRNA from 1 species
AGGACGAACGCUGGCGGCGUGCUUAACACAUGCAAGUCGAACGGUAAGGCCCUUCGGGGUACACGAGUGGCGAACGGGUGAGUAACACGUGGGUGAUCUGCCCUGCACUUCGGGAUAAGCUUGGGAAACUGGGUCUAAUACCGGAUAUGACUACGAAUCGCAUGGUUUGUGGUGGAAAGCUUUUGCGGUGUGGGAUGGGCCCGCGGCCUAUCAGCUUGUUGGUGGGGUGAUGGCCUACCAAGGCGACGACGGGUAGCCGGCCUGAGAGGGUGUCCGGCCACACUGGGACUGAGAUACGGCCCAGACUCCUACGGGAGGCAGCAGUGGGGAAUAUUGCACAAUGGGCGCAAGCCUGAUGCAGCGACGCCGCGUGAGGGAUGACGGCCUUCGGGUUGUAAACCUCUUUCAGUAUCGACGAAGCGCAAGUGACGGUAGGUACAGAAGAAGGACCGGCCAACUACGUGCCAGCAGCCGCGGUAA